CCUGGUCCCGGGCUGCGGGGGUGUUCAUGGGGGUGUUCACUCACAGCAUCCCCGCAGCCUUCCCCGCACAUCUCCAGUGGGGCUGGCCGCAGCACCCCAUGUCCCUGCUCACCACAGUGCAAACCCAAGGGCAGCCUUUGUGUCAUGCAUCUGCUGCGGGCUG